rnacentral:rRNA from 1 species
UACGUAGGGUGCGAGCGUUGUCCGGAAUUAUUGGGCGUAAAGAGCUUGUAGGCGGUCUGUCGCGUCUGCUGUGAAAAUCCGGGGCUCAACCCCGGACUUGCAGUGGGUACGGGCAGACUAGAGUGUGGUAGGGGAGACUGGAAUUCCUGGUGUAGCGGUGAAAUGCGCAGAUAUCAGGAAGAACACCAAUGGCGAAGGCAGCUCUCUGGGACGGUACUGACACUGAGACGCGAAAGCGUGGGGAGCAAACAGG